UAAGAAAUUACAUUAAAAAUGUAAGAAUAAAUACAAAAAUAAAUGUGGAAAUAAAUACAAAAAUAAAUAUAUUGAUUGAAAUAAAUGUCAAUCAAUAAAUAAAAGCGCUUUGCCUUAUAUUUACUUAUUUCAUUGUCAGCGCCAACUUGCAAGUGGAAAUGUAAUUCAAAUGAGGGGGCGUUCCUAAGGGUGCCAUGGGUUGAACUAUUCGCUUAUUGGUUGAUCGACAUUCGAUUUCUGAAAUCUACUAGCCAUGCCUGCCACAGAUGACAGAACGUGGGUCUGAAAGUCAGGGAAACAGCCGACCUAGUUUAGUAGUCCUACUUGGUGAGAAGUGAGAGAAAAUGCAUUAUCCACCGUCGAAUGUCAAAGCAUGGUAUAAGAGUCUCUGACUUGAAUAAUUCCACUGACAUCGCAACGUUGGAUGCUGGGUGAUUACAGGGAUCCCGGGAUCUCAUCCAAAUUCUGGGUUCAGAAUGAUGCAAGGACGUCUCAGGUUCCGACGUACAAAGGUUCAGAGACUUCGUGUGCAAGAAUCCAUGCCACGUCUGGAUCCACCGGGAAUUGUCCGCACACUACAACUACAAACUGUUCGCCGUAGAUGAUAUUCUGUGCCAGCCCCCAACAGUCAAAGGCAUAGCUAUGGCAACCAUAAAGUCAAAAAUUAAAGCUCUAUAUUGGGGGACUCGGAAGGAAGUACAAAAAUAAAUUAAGACCAUAUUUUUUUCACCCAUUUUGGAAAGAUAAACCCAUAUACAGUAUAAUAUAGACCAUUUUAAAUGAAGUUGAAAUAUUUCAUGCUUUUAUUAUUUAUUACGCGCUAGGAAUCCAAUUCAUUUAGAUUUGGAGUGCUUUCGCUGCCAGCCUCUCCCAGUCAAAAAUUGAUUGGAUGUCAAGCGCUGUCAAUGGCAGCCAAUGAGUUAAAUGCUGAUGUUUAUGGCUUGCAAAAAUAAGAAACCCUAAAAUUUUAUGUGUCAGAAUUACGAAAAAAAAAAAUUCUGGGCCCUGCAACACAUUGUCUGUUAUUGCAGAAAUGUUGGUAUAGUUUUAGUUGCCACUUCUGGGAGAUGAUUGGAUGAAAUUUUACCCAUCAAAAUCAAAUUAUGAGGUGUGGCACGCCCUCUUUGCUUGUUGGCUCUUUGAAAAUGGCUUAACAAGUUAAAAUUCAAAAGGGAUAAUGUAAAGUGCACAUUUCUAAUCAAAAACGUAACAUUAAAAAAAAAACAAUAAAAGCAUGAAAUAUCCCUGACCAAAAAAGUUAAAUAAAAUUAUAUAAAUGCGAACACUUUCACGGUCUAGGGCUAGGCACAUACAGAUGAGGCUAAUCAAUAACUAAAUUCGCCAUAUACGAUGUGUGCAUGUUUAGUUAUGUUUUAGGACUAGUUGGUUCAACUUUAAAUUACAUAUUUGCAGUUUUAUGUGAUGGUCCACAUGGUUAUCAUCCCCAUGUCGAUGUCAGUCCCAGAAGUGCAGCUGCGACAGGCCUCGACUCCUGAAGAAAUUCAGCAGAUGUCAGAAUGUUCUAAUGUAUUGAAUGUCUACAACGAGACUAUCCAUCCUGCGUCAAAUAUUUGGACUUGUUUUAAAUGACAGCAUAGAAUGUUGGUUGUCGUUGAUGUGACAGUACCUCAAUAAUGUGAAGAAAUAAUAAAGGCAAUGAUUGUUUUUCUGCAAAGUAAUAUUUUAUUGAUGACCAGUGUAAUACAAUACAAAUGAUAAACAGGCAAUUGAUGUACAAAAAAGGACUUCCAGCACAACUAACUCGUUCAUC